AUUUGCAUUCUGGGGCGGGAAAGAUAUAACAGAGCUGGAUGUCAAAUUUUGGACUGUGGGCUUAUAGAUAGCAUGAUUCAGGAACCAUGACUUCCUCUUCUGGCAUGAUCAAGGGCCAGGACUGACAAAAGCUGUGCCCACGUAACUCUUCAGCACCAGCCCAUCUAUUACAAAGACAGAAAGUCAGGUUUAUGUGGGAAAACCCCUCAGGAUUCCAAGAAGACUUCAUAUCUAACAGGAAGAUGGAAGAAUUUUGUCCUAAGAGUCUCUGAAUUGUUUUUUUCACUAAUAUGUUCUAUGAAGUAACACCUUCAAUCUUUAUGAAGUAUUAAAAACUGAGGUCAUAUGAUAUCUUGAAA
rnacentral:lncRNA from 1 species